UAAGUACAUUUACUUGUACUUUACUUGAGUCUUUAACUUUCAUACCACUUUCUAUUUUACUCUGCUACAUUCAGAGCAAAUUAUUGUAAUUUUUACU